AUCAUACCUGUCCUGCAACUAUCAGUCACAUUUCACAACAUGAGGUUUGCUUGCAGCACUAACACACCCACAUCACCUCAUACUGCGCCUUAUAAAUACAGACUGAACACACGCAUUAGACACAAAUAAUUUGGAUUUCUGCAUCAGGAAAAGACUUUGUACUGCACUUGUCAACAACACAAAAUGAGUGACGACGGCAAAAAGGGCGGGAAGGGAAAGAAGCCAGAGGAGCCAGUAGAAGGUUCAGGAUCUGACUCAGAUGGAGGGAAAGGAAAAGGGAAAAAAGAACAAGGGAAGGGGCAUGGAAAGGAUCAUGGACAUGGACAUGGACAAGGACAAGGACAAGGACAAGGACAAAAACGUGGAGGACAUGCUGGUGGUCCAAAAUAAACGAUGACAGAAUUCUUGAAUUGCCAUUCUGUGAAAAUGAUUGUAAAGAAUUAAAUUCAUCUAUAAACUAA